GUUUAAACGUGAUCUUCGGGAAAUGACUGAAACUGUGCUUACUAUCCAGAAACAGACUCUUUGGCAGCCGUGGUACUUCAGAACCGGCGGGGGCCAGAUCUCCUGACGGCUAAAGAAGGUGGUCUUUGCCUGAUCCUCCAAGAAGAAUGUUGUUUCUAUGUCAACCAGUCCGGGAUAGUGAAAAACCAAAUCCAGGAGCUACAGGCAGACAUCAAAAACUUCAGAGACCAUGAGACCUCCGGUUUGGGGAUUUUUGAAAAAUCCUAUAUAGACAAAAAAUUUCUAACCAAACUAUUAAUCGGCUCCUGUUACAAGAUUACCAGCCACUGCCCACAGAAGAGCCGCUGCCCACAGGAGAGCCGCUGUCCACAGAAGAGUCACUGUCCAUAGAAGAACCUGAUUCAGACGAUUGCCAAAUGGAUUCUGAUGGUGAAAGCCAGAUAUGCCCCGAAAUUGACGAUGCUCCUAGAUAGUAGGAAGCAGUUUAAGAGACAUGAUGCCCGCGUUCUCUUUUCACCAUCAGCUCUUUUUUCCCCCUUCCCUUUUUUCCCCUUCUCUUUAUAAUAACAAGGGAGGUAUGUUAGUACUAGGACAUUCCAAACCCAGGCACUAACAAUGUAACCCAUGACCUCCGUUGCCAAGCCAAUGACCCUCAUAUCCCAGAACCCACUUGGCUCACCUCCCACCCUUACUUGUGUUACGUCACUUUCCAUAUAAAUCAGGAGAUCACCCCCUCUCACUCUCUCUUCUUUCCCCUUCCACUUUUUCUUCUCUCCCCAACAAUAAAUCUCUCUCAUGUGAAACCA
rnacentral:lncRNA from 1 species